GUGGGGAAUAUUGGGCAAUGGGGGCAACCCUGACCCAGCAACGCCGCGUGAAGGAAGAAGGCUUUCGGGUUGUAAACUUCUUUGACGAGGGACGAUAGUGACGGUACCUCGAAAACAAGCCACGGCUAACUACGUGCCAGCAGCCGCGGUAAUACGUAGGUGGCAAGCGUUGUCCGGAUUUACUGGGUGUAAAGGGCGCGUAGGCGGGAUUGCAAGUCAGAUGUGAAAUCUCCGGGCUCAACCCGGAAAUUGCAUUUGAAACUGUAGUUCUUGAGUAUCGGAGAGGCAAGCGGAAUUCCUAGUGUAGCGGUGAAAUGCGUAGAUAUUAGGAGGAACACCAGUGGCGAAGGCGGCUUGCUGGACGACAACUGACGCUGAGGCGCGAAAGCGUGGGGAGCAAACAGGAUUAGAAACCCGAGUAGUCC
rnacentral:rRNA from 1 species